GAUGAAGAACGUAGCGAAAUGCGAUAAGUAAUGUGAAUUGCAGAAUUCAGUGAAUCAUCGAAUCUUUGAACGCACAUUGCGCCCCCUGGUAUUCCGGGGGGCAUGCCUGUCCGAGCGUCAUUACAACCCUCAAGCUCAGCUUGGUAUUGGGCCCCGCCGACCCGGCGGGCCCUAAAGUCAGAGGCGGUGCCGUCCGGCUCCGAGCGUAGUAAUUCUUCUCGCUCUGGAGGUCCGGUCGUGUGCUCGCCAGCAACCCCCAAUUUUUUUCAGGUUGACCUCGGAUCAGGUAGGGAUACCCGCUGAACUUAAGCAUAUCAAUAAGCGGAGGA
rnacentral:misc_RNA from 1 species